ensembl:lncRNA
CUCUCUCUCUCUCUCUCUCUCUCUCUCUCUCUCUCUCUCUCUCUCUCUCUCUCUCUCUCUCUCUCUCUCUCUCUCUCUCUCUCUCUCUCUCUCUCUCUCUCUCUCUCCCUCUCUCUUUCUCUCUCUCUUCUGUUCUGUCAUGUCACACUCUCCAACGAGGACCAAUGGGGUGAAGGGGCUCUUCUUUUGGUAAACGCCUUCAGUGGCAAAAAAAAGAAGGAAAGAAAAAAAAUUAACAAAAAUGUAAAAAAAAAAAUGGAAGUAAUCAACGACAUUCUUAUCCAAUCCAAAUCAGUUCCGGCUCUCCUGGUGUGUACAGAGGUGGAAAAAGGUGUUGCUCCUGACCUACCCUCAGUGUUUGUUAAUGGUGUCUCCCAGUGGGGCAAAGAGUAUUAAGGACUACUGAAUGACAUUCGGUCCAACCAAUGAGGUCGUUGCUCCAGCCUCUGGGGGCGGGACAGCAGAGCGACCGCAGAGACAGAUGGGGGCCCAGCGAGGGUUUAUCACCGCGAGUCGGGAUCUGGUGGAUGUGUGCGUGUGUGAGUGUGUGUAUGUGUGUGUGUAUGAUUGUGUGUCUGUGUAAUUUUUGUAUGUGUAUGUGUGUGUGUGUGAUUAUGGUUGUCUGUCUGUGUAAUCUGUGUGUGUGUGUUUGUGUGCGCGUAUGUGAUUGUUUAUUUAUUUGUGUUUGGUUUCAUAUGUGUGGUUGUGUGUCUAUGUGUUCAUUGGUGUGAUUGUCUGUGUGUGUGUGAUCUGUGUGUGUACUUGUAUGAUUGUGCGGGACUGUGUGUGUUUAUUUAUGGGAAUAUGUGUGUGUCUGCGUGUGUGUGCAUGCGUGUGUGUGUGUGUGUGUGUGUGUGUGUGUGUGUGUGUGUGUGUGUGUGUGUAUGCGUGUGCGUGUGUUUACUUGAUUGUGCAUGACUAUGUGAACAGGGAAACAUUGGGAGACAGAGUGGACUACUGUAGUGGACUAGGAGACAGAGUGGACUUCUGUAGUGGACUAGGAGACAGAGUGGAUUACUGUAGUGGACUAGGAGACAGAGUGGACUACUGUAGUGGGCUAGGAGACAGAGUGGACUACUGUAGUGGACUAGGAGACAGAGUGGACUUCUGUAGUGGACUAGGAGACAGAGUGGACUACUGUAGUGGACUAGGAGACAGAGUGGAUUACUGUAGUGGACUAGGAGACAGAGUGGACUACUGUAGUGGACUAGGAGACAGAGUGGACUACUGUAGUGGUCUUGGAGACAACAGAGAUGACUACAGCUACUGUAGUAGACUAGGAGACAGAGUGGAUUACUGUAGUAGACUAGGAGACAGAGUGGAUUACUGUAGUGGACUAGGAGACAGACUGAGGCACUAGGAGGAUUUUUACCUUUGCUUAUUUCAGCUGCUCCUUUCAACUGUGCAUGUCUCACUCUUACCCUUUUCAACUAUGUGUUCGUGUGAGUGUGUGUUUGUGCGUGCGUGCGUGUGUGUGCGGGAUGAGAAACGAUUUUUAUUUCUUGCAGACAAAUCGACUUGCUAUUAUGCUAUUUAAAAUGUGCAAUCUUGUGCAAGCACAACACAAAUACACACACUCACAUACACAACCACUUACACACAGGCACACACACAAAGACACACACACACACACACACACACACACACACACACACACACACACACACACACACACACACACACACACACAGACAAACACACGUACACACAUACACACACACAGCCACACACACACAAACACACAAACACACACACACACACACACACACCCAUGCAGAUGAAUACAUUUAGACACAUUUACUGAAACUGAACAAUUGUUAUGAAUAAAAAGCUAUAUAUUUUCACCUUUUGGAAAAUAUUUUCCAAUGUACAUAAUUAUGAUAUUGUACAAAUCGUGUGCAUUUUACUCACACCUUCAAGAAAAUGACUAAGAUGUAUGAUUUGCUGAUGAAAAUGCACUGAAAGAUGUUAGGAAUAACAUGACCUACUUUUUGUAACGCUAUGAAAAAAUUAUCGAAGAAAGUUUAGCAAUGUUUAAAUGCUUUGGUGCAUAUCCAACAAGAUCAAAUAAAGACUCA